rnacentral:rRNA from 1 species
GGGUUCGAUUCCGGAGAGGGAGCCUGAGAAACGGCUACCACAUNCAAGGAAGGCAGCAGGCGCGCAAAUUACCCAAUCCCGACACGGGGAGGUAGUGACAAUAAAUAACAACACAGGGCUCUUUUGGGUCUUGUUAUUGGAAUGAGUACGAUUUAAAUCUCCUAACGAGGAACAAUUGGAGGGCAAGUCUGGUGCCAGCAGCCGCGGUAAUUCCAGCUCCAAUAGCGUAUAUUAAAGUUGUUGCAGUUAAAAAGCUCGUAGUUGAAUUUCAGGCCUGGCUGGACGGUCCGCCCUUCGGGUGAGUACUGUCUGUGGUCGGGUCCUACCUUCUGGCGAAGCGUCAUGGCCUUAACCGGCCGUGGCGGGGAACCAGGACUUUUACUGUGAAAAAAUUAGAGUGUUCAAAGCAGGCAAUCGCUUGGAUACAUUAGCAUGGAAUAAUGGAAUAGGACAAUGGUUCUAUUUGUUGGUUUCUAGGACCGUUGUAGUGAUUAAUAGGGAUAGUUGGGGGCAUUAGUAUUCAAUUGUCAGAGGUGAAAUUCUUGGAUUUAUUGAAGACUAA